GACGAACGCUGGCGGCGUGCUUAACACAUGCAAGUCGAGCGGUAAGGCUCCUUCGGGAGUACACGAGCGGCGAACGGGUGAGUAACACGUGAGCAAUCUGCCCUUCACACGGGGAUAACUUCGGGAAACCGAAGCUAAUACCCGAUACGACCACUUCAGGCAUCUGAUGGUGGUGGAAAGUUCCGGCGGUGAAGGAUGAGCUCGCGGCCUAUCAGCUUGUUGGUGGGGUAAUGGCCCACCAAGGCAACGACGGGUAGCCGGCCUGAGUGGGUGACCGGCCACACUGGGACUGAGACACGGCCCAGACUCCUACGGGAGGCAGCAGUGGGGAAUAUUGGACAAUGGGCGAAAGCCUGAUCCAGCAACGCCGCGUGAGGGAUGACGGCCUUCGGGUUGUAAACCUCUUUCAGCAGGGACGAAGCGCAAGUGACGGUACCUGCAGAAGAAGCACCGGCCAACUACGUGCCAGCAGCCGCAGUAAAAC
rnacentral:rRNA from 1 species